AGUCAUUUGUCAACGUAUGGCGACUGUGCGUUUCACCCUCUCUAUUCUACUAACUCUCCUCCAUCAUUCAGAGCCCAGUGCUGAGACCUCUGUGUUUGUGCAGAAGGGACAGGAUGUUCGCCUGAAUGUCCAGACAAAUGUUCAACUGCAAGAUGUUGAUGUGAUAUUUUGGAAGUUUAACAGAUUAGACAAUGUUGUAAAGUACCCCCCAAAAGGUACCGAGGUAGGGCUAAAUUUAGUGUGGGAAACUUCUCUCUGCUACUGAAGAACCUCCAGGAAGGAGACAGUGGACUUUAUGAAGCAGUAGUGUCUGGUAACAAUGACAGAAACGUUGCUAAAUACUUGAUAAAAGUCUAAGCUCAUGUACUCAGGUUAAUAAACAAACAAUCAGCUGGGCCAACGACACCAAGGAGAUCAAAACAAUUUGUCUGGAAAAAGAGCGGGACAGAGAAGACCAUAACUACGCUGUCACAGUCGGGAUGCUCGGUCCCAUCAUCCACGUCAUCAUCAUCUUUGUUGGAUGCGCCUUGAUUGGUUGGUGAAAGCUAAAUAAAGACUCCAGGUAACAGUCAAAUAGGUGAUGAAGAGCAGGAAUCUCCAGGUCCAGGUCAAGCAUCAGCCACAAUCUACAGUAUGGUGGGACUACCCCAACCCCAGCCUAUGAACCAUUCCACCAUGAUGGGAGACCAGUCUCCACCUGAGGACUUCCCCAUGACCUCCAUGACCUCCAUGACCAUGCCUGAGAGUUUAAAUGCUACUGUAUGGUGGGGCAAAAGAGAAGCAAACAAUAAUCAGGAAUUUUAACAUCAUCUUAGACCAGGAUUCUAUCACAUAGCUUGUUGUCAGCUAUACACCUUUGAAGGCAAUGCUCCCGCGUUCAAUGAGAAAACAUUCAAUUCAGUUCAGUCGGGAAAUUAUGUUUAAAUGUACAUAGCUGGCAAACCAUGAUCAAAUUCAAAUCAAAUCAACUUUAUUUGUCACAUACACAUGGUUAGCAGAUGUUAAUGCGAGUGUAGCGAAAUGCUGGUGCUUCUAGUUCCGACAAUGCAGUAAUAACCAACAAGUAAUCUAACUAACAAUUCCUAAACUACUGUCUUGAAUAUGUACAUAAGGAUAUAUGAAUGAGUGAUGGUACAGAGCAGCAUAGGCAAGAUACAGUAGAUGGUAUCGAGUACAGUAUAUACAUAUGAGAUGAGUAUGUAAACAAAGUGGCAUAGUUAAAGUGGCUAGUGAUACAUGUAUUACAUAAGGAUGCAGUCGAUGAUAUAGAGUACAGUAUAUACGUAUGCAUAUGAGAUGAAUAAUGUAGGGUAAGUAACAUUAUAUAAGGUAGCAUUGUUUAAAGUGGCUAGUGAUAUAUUUACAUCAAUUCCCAUUAUUAAAGUGGCUGGAGUUGAGUCAGUGUCAGUGUGUUGGCAGCAGCCACUCAAUGUUAGUGGUGGCUGUUUAACAGUCUGAUGGCCUUGAGAUAGAAGCUGUUUUUCAGUCUCUCGGUCCCAGCUUUGAUGCACCUGUACUGACCUCGCCUUCUGGAUGAUAGCGGGGUGAACAGGCAGUGGCUCGGGUGGUUGAUGUCCUUGAUGAUCUUUAUGGCCUUCCUGUAACAUCGGGUGGUGUAGGUGUCCUGGAGGGCAGGUAGUUUGCCCCCGAUGAUGCGUUGUGCAGACCUCACUACCCUCUGGAGAGCCUUACGGUUGAUGGUGUUGAAUGCCGAGCUGUAGUCGAUGAACAGCAUUCUCACAUAGGUAUUCCUCUUGUCCAGAUGGGUUAGGGCAGUGUGCAGUGUGGUUGAGAUUGCAUCGUCUGUGGACCUAUUUGAGCGGUAAGCAAAUUGGAGUGGGUCUAGGGUGUCAGGUAGGGUGGAGGUGAUAUGGUCCUUGACUAGUCUCUCAAAGCACUUCAUGAUGACGGAAGUGAGUGCUACGGGGCGGUAGUCGUUUAGCUCAGUUACCUUAGCUUUCUUGGGAACAGGAACGAUGGUGGCCCUCUUGAAGCAUGUGGGAACAGCAGACUGGUAUAGGGAUUGAUUGAAUAUGUCCGUAAACACACCAGCCAGCUGGUCUGCGCAUGCUCUGAGGGCGCGGCUGGGGAUGCCGUCUGGGCCUGCAGCCUUGCGAGGGUUAACACGUUUUACUCACCUCGGCUGCAGUGAAGGAGAGACCGCAUUUUUCCGUUGCGGGCAGUGUCAGUGGCACUGAGCAAGACAUCCUGGUCCGUGACUGGGCUGGAUUUCUUCCUGUAGUCCGUGAUUGACUGUAGACCCUGCCACAUGCCUCUUGUGUCUGAGCCGUUGAAUUGGGAUUCUACUUUGUCUCUGUACUGACGCUUAGCUUGUUUGAUAGCCUUACGGAGGGAAUAGCUGCAUUGUUUGUAUUCAGUCAUGUUACCAGACACCUUGCCCUGAUUGAAAGCAGUGGUUCGCACUUUCAGUUUCACGCGAAUGCUGCCAUCAAUCCAAGGUUUCUGGUUAGGGAAUGUUUUAAUCGUUACUAUGGGAACGACAUCUUCAACGCACGUUCUAAUGAACUCGCACACCGAAUCAGCGUAUUCGUCAAUGUUGUUAUUUGACGUAAUACGAAACAUGUCCCAGUCCACGUGAUGGAAGCAGUCUUGGAGUGUGGAGUCAGCUUGGUCGGACCAGCGUUGGACAGACCUCAGCGUGGGAGCUUCUUUUUUUAGCUUUUGUCUGUAGGCAGGUAUCAGCAAAAUGGAGUCGUGGUCAGCUUUUCCGAAAGGGGGCGGGGCAGGGCCUUAUAUGCGUCGCGGAAGUUAGAGUAACAGUGAUCCAAGGUUUUUCCGCCCCUGGUUGCGCAAUCGAUAUGCUGAUAAAAUUUAGGGAGUCUUGUUUUAAGAUUAGCCUUGUUAAAAUCCCCAACAACGAUGAAUGCAGCCUCCGGAUAAAUGGUUUCCAGUUUGCAAAGAGUUAAAUAAAGUUCGUUCAGAGCCAUCGAUGUGUCUGCUUGGGGGGGGGAUAUAUACGGCUGUGAUUAUAAUCGAAGAGAAUUCUCUUGGUAGAUAAUGCGGUCUACAUUUGAUUGUGAGGAAUUCUAAAUCAGGUGAACAGAAGGAUUUGAGUUCCUGUAUGUUUCUUUCAUCGCACCAUGCCUCGUUAGCCAUAAGGCAUACACCCCCACCCCUCUUCUUACCAGAAAGGUGUUUGUUUCUGUCGGCGCGAUGCGUGGAGAAACCCGUUGGCUGCACCGCUUCGGAUAGCGUCUCUCCAGUGAGCCAUGUUUCCGUGAAGCACAGAACGUUACAGUCUCUGAUGUCCCUCUGGAAUGCUACCUUUGCUCGGAUUUCAUCAACCUUGUUGUCAAGAGACUGGUGUGACGACCCUCCCACUCCGUCUGCUGUAUUCUGUUUGUUCUUGUUUCCUUAUUAGGAUGCCGGUGGGCGGAGUUGGGGAGGGUCGUCAGCUACAUGGGAAACACCUGGGCCAGGUGUGUCCCAGGAUAAAUAGACCUCUUCCACAUUCAUGGAGGAGACUCUCUCCAUGCAGACACCAUUGUAGAUUGUGUUGUGGUUCUUGGUGGCCUUUUGUUUGUUUGCAUUGGCACCUUUCAAUACCCUGCAUUAUCACAUUCAUGCAUGCAAAACACUCACUUACACUACUGAUUACUGAUUACACACACCAUUGUAUAUUUUGCUUAGUUGCUUUAGUUAAUAAAUAUAUAUUUUGUUACUCCUUA